rnacentral:rRNA from 1 species
CCUACGGGUGGCAGCAGUGAGGAAUAUUGGUCAAUGGGCGGAAGCCUGAACCAGCCAAGUCGCGUGAGGGAUUAAGGCCCUGCGGGUCGUAAACCUCUUUUGCCGGGGAGCAGAGGUCCGGACGUGUCCGGGCCGGGAGAGUACCCGGAGAAAAAGCAUCGGCUAACUCCGUGCCAGCAGCCGCGGUAAUACGUAGGGUGCGAGCGUUAAUCGUAAUUACUGGGCGUAAAGGGUGUGCAGGCGGCUGAGUAAGACAGAUGUGGAAUCCCCGGGCUUAACCUGGGAACCGCAGAUGUGACUGCUUGGCUAGAGUGCGUCAGAGGGAGGUGGAAUUCCACGUGUAGCAGUGAAAUGCGUAGAUAUGUGGAAGAACACCGAUGGCGAAGGCAGCCUCCUGGGACGCAACUGACGCUCAUACACGAAAGCGUGGGGAGCAAACAGGAUUAGAUACCCCAGUAGUC